rnacentral:rRNA from 1 species
UACGUAGGGUGCGAGCGUUGUCCGGAAUUACUGGGCGUAAAGAGCUCGUAGGCGGUUUGUCGCGUUGUUCGUGAAAACCGGGGGCUUAACCUUCGGCGUGCGGGCGAUACGGGCAGACUGGAGUACUGCAGGGGAGACUGGAAUUCACGGUGUAGCAGUGAAAUGCGUAGAUAUCGUGAGGAAGACCAGUGGCGAAGGCGGAUCUCUGGACAGUUCCUGACGCUGAGGCGCGAAGGCCAGGGGAGCAAACGGG